UAACGCGUGGAUAACCUGCCUCACACUGGGGGAUAACAGUUAGAAAUGACUGCUAAUACCGCAUAAGCGCACAGUGCCGCAUGGCAGUGUGUGAAAAACUCCGGUGGUGUGAGAUGGAUCCGCGUCUGAUUAGCCAGUUGGCGGGGUAACGGCCCACCAAAGCGACGAUCAGUAGCCGACCUGAGAGGGUGACCGGCCACAUUGGGACUGAGACACGGCCCAA
rnacentral:rRNA from 1 species